rnacentral:lncRNA from 1 species
AGCAACAAUACAGAAGGUGACGCAGCACCUCCUCAACCAGUAACACAGUAUGAUACAGUCAAGCGGCAAAGGGAGAAAAUCUGAUUCAUAGGCAAAAACUGCUUCCCUAGAAAAGAACCAAUUUUACAAAACCACUGAUGAAGUUCAGAUGAUUCAAUCACUCACUUUGACCAGAAUAUAUUGCUGCUGCAAAGCAAUUUGCACUUUAAAACUUUAAAGAGAGCAGAAAGGACUAGACUUGCCAGAAGGCAGUUGGGCAAUUGUCACAGGCAGAUUGUUUAUUCCACCCAGAGGUUUAUUAUUAUUUUCAUAGUAUUCUGCAAAGAUCAAGAGAAAGUGCUAACAGGCUAUGGUUUUUAUAAAGGUGGAGUUUAAAGUAUUAUAAAGCAAUAAACCAUCAAAUUGCUUGACA